rnacentral:rRNA from 1 species
GGUCAAGCUACAAAGAGCUCACGGCGGAUACCUUGGCACACAGAGGCGAUGAAGGACGUGGUUACCUGCGAUAAGUCUCGGGGAGCUGGAAACACGCUUUGAUCCGGGAAUUUCCGAAUGGGGCAACCCCUAGUACGGCCAGCUGAAUCCAUAGGCUGGCGCGAGCCAACC